GCAAACUUGGUCAUUUAGAGGAAGUAAAAGUCGUAACAAGGUCUCCGUUGGUGAACCAGCGGAGGGAUCAUUACCGAGUUUCCAAACUCCAUACCUUUGUGAACAUACCAUCGUUGCUUCGGCGGGUUCGUCCCGGGGCUCGCAGUGCACGGCCUGCCCCGGAACCAGACGCCCGCCGAGGACCCCAAACUCUUGUUUUUAUAGUGGAUCUUCUGAGUCUUUAUACAAAUAAAUCAAAACUUUCAGCAACGGAUCUCUUGGUUCUGGCAUCGAUGAAGAACGCAGC
rnacentral:misc_RNA from 1 species